UAUGUGAAGUUCAAUGAUCUGAUAUUUUUUAGACGUUGAUUGAUUAGAGUGUUGGGUACGUAAGGUUCAAUGAUCUGAUAUUUUUAAGAGGUUCAUUGAUUAGAGUGUUGGGUACGUAAGGUUCAAUGAUCUGAUAUGUUUAAGAGGUUCAUUGAUUAGAGUGUUGGGUACGUAAGGUUCAAUGAUCUGAUAUUUUUAAGAGGUUCAUUGAUUAGAGUGUUGGGUACGUAAGGUUCAAUGAUCUGAUAUGUUUAAGAGGUUCAUUGAUUAGAGUGUUGGGUACGUAAGGUUCAAUGAUCUGAUAUUUUUAAGAGGUUCAUUGAUUAGAGUGUUGGGUAUGUAAGGUUCAAUGAUCUGAUAUUUUUAAGAGGUUCAUUGAUUAGAGUGUUGGGUAUGUAAGGUUCAAUGAUCUGAUAUGUUUAAGAGGUUCAUUGAUUAGAGUGUUGGGUACGUAAGGUUCAAUGAUCUGAUAUGUUUAAGAGGUUCAUUGAUUAGAGUGUUGGGUACGUAAGGUUCAAUGAUCUGAUAUGUUUAAGAGGUUCAUUGAUUAGAGUGUUGGGUACGUAAGGUUCAAUGAUCUGAUAUGUUUAAGAGGUUCAUUGAUUAGUGUUGGGUACGUAAGGUUCAAUGAUCUGAUAUAUUUAAGAGGUUCAUUGAUUAGAGUGUUGGGUACGUAAGGUUCAAUGAUCUGAUAUAUUUAAGAGGUUCAUUGAUUAGAGUGUUGGGUACGUAAGGUUCAAUGAUCUGAUAUUUUAAAGAUGUUCAUUGAAUAAGAAACUUCCUGUCAACAGCCAACAGAGGCGACACUCACCGAGGCCGUCACUCCGCCCACCACCGCCAG